AUGCAUGGCUUCUUCGCGUAUGCCAACACGUCCUGUCUUACCACCGGCAUGCUGCUGCUCAUCCUGCCAUCUACACGCCCUUGCAGAUUCAGUGCACCGGGAGAAGAAAAAUCAAUCAACCAUCAGGAGCAAAUCAAGCAGAUCAAUCCUCCCACUAUGACCCUGAUAUGUGUGAAUCAGUUUCUACCAUGUCAUUUCUUUUCCUCUUGCACGAGUUCCUCUUCAUCUUUAGCUUCAACAAUUUUCGUGGUAGGGCUAGGAGGGGGAUGGAGUGCUCCACCUCGCGCAAUCCCCCUUCUUACCCCGCGUAAGGGCUCGUCGCAUGCAGGCCAUCGAGGAAAGGCCGGAUGGGUAGGAGGGGAUGGAUCGGGGAAGCUGAGUGCAUGCCACAAUUAG
rnacentral:rRNA from 1 species